rnacentral:rRNA from 1 species
ACGACGCUGGCGGCGUGCCUAACACAUGCAAGUCGAACGGGGUGAUUCGCUUCGGUGGAUCACUUAGUGGCGAACGGGUGAGUAACGCGUGAGAAACCUGCCUCCCAGUGGGGGACAACAGUUGGAAACGACUGCUAAUACCGCAUAAUGUAUUCGGAGGGCAUCCUCUGGAUACCAAAGCUUAAUGUGCUGAGAGAUGGUCUCGCGUCUGAUUAGAUAGGUUGGUGAGGUAACGGCUCACCAAGUCGACGAUCAGUAGCCGGACUGAGAGGUUGAACGGCCACAUUGGGACUGAGACACGGCCCAGACUCCUACGGGAGGCAGCAGUGGGGAAUAUUGCACAAUGGGCGCAAGCCUGAUGCAGCAACGCCGCGUGAGGGAAGACGGUUUUCGGAUUGUAAACCUUUGUCUUUGGUGAAGAAGAAAGUGACGGUAACCAAGGAGGAAGCCACGGCUAACUACGUG